rnacentral:rRNA from 1 species
GCCCUUAGAGUUUGAUCCUGGCUCAAGACGAACGCUGGCGGCGCGCCUAACACAUGCAAGUCGAACGAGAGAUGAGGAGCUUGCUCUUCAAAUCGAGUGGCGAACGGGUGAGUAACGCGUGAGGAACCUGCCUCAAAGAGGGGGACAACAGUUGGAAACAACUGCUAAUACCGCAUAAGCCCACAGCUCGGCAUCGAGCAGAGGGAAAAGGAGCAAUCCGCUUUGAGAUGGCCUCGCGUCCGAUUAGCUAGUUGGUGAGGUAACGGCCCACCAAGGCGACGAUCGGUAGCCGGACUGAGAGGUUGAACGGCCACAUUGGGACUGAGACACGGCCCAGACUCCUACGGGAGGCAGCAGUGGGGAAUAUUGCACAAUGGGGGAAACCCUGAUGCAGCGACGCCGCGUGGAGGAAGAAGGUCUUCGGAUUGUAAACUCCUGUUGUUGAGGAAGAUAAUGACGGUACUCAACAAGGAAGUGACGGCUAACUACGUGCCAGCAGCCGCGGUAAAACGUAGGUCACAAGCGUUGUCCGGAAUUACUGGGUGUAAAGGGAGCGCAGGCGGGAGAACAAGUUGGAAGUGAAAUCCAUGGGCUCAACCCAUGAACUGCUUUCAAAACUGUUUUUCUUGAGUAGUGCAGAGGUAGGCGGAAUUCCCGGUGUAGCGGUGGAAUGCGUAGAUAUCGGGAGGAACACCAGUGGCGAAGGCGGCCUACUGGGCACCAACUGACGCUGAGGCUCGAAAGUGUGGGUAGCAAACAGGAUUAGAUACCCUGGUAGUCCACACCGUAAACGAUGAUUACUAGGUGUUGGAGGAUUGACCCCUUCAGUGCCGCAGUUAACACAAUAAGUAAUCCACCUGGGGAGUACGACCGCAAGGUUGAAACUCAAAGGAAUUGACGGGGGCCCGCACAAGCAGUGAAGUAUGUGGUUUAAUUCGACGCAACGCGAAGAAUCUUACCAAGUCUUGACAUCCCUUGACGAUGCUGGAAACAGUAUUUCUCUUCGGAGCAAGGAGACAGGUGGUGCAUGGUUGUCGUCAGCUCGUGUCGUGAGAUGUUGGGUUAAGUCCCGCAACGAGCGCAACCCUUAUGGUCAGUUACUACGCAAGAGGACUCUGGCCAGACUGCCGUUGACAAAACGGAGGAAGGUGGGGAUGACGUCAAAUCAUCAUGCCCUUUAUGACUUGGGCUACACACGUACUACAAUGGCGUUAAACAAAGAGAAGCAAGACCGCGAGGUGGAGCAAAACUCAGAAACAACGUCCCAGUUCGGACUGCAGGCUGCAACUCGCCUGCACGAAGUCGGAAUUGCUAGUAAUCGUGGAUCAGCAUGCCACGGUGAAUACGUUCCCGGGCCUUGCACA